GCUGGGCGUGGUGGUGCAUGCCUGUAAUCCCAGUUACUCGGGAGGCUGAGGCAGGAGAAUUGCUUGAGCCUGGGCAGCAGAGGUUCCAGUGAGCCGAGAUCACACAACUGCACUCCAGCCUGGGCUACAGAGCAAGACUCUGUCUCAA
rnacentral:SRP_RNA from 1 species